rnacentral:rRNA from 1 species
AGAGUUUGAUCCUGGCUCAGGAUGAACGCUAGCUACAGGCUUAACACAUGCAAGUCGAGGGGCAGCAUGACGAUAGCUUGCUAUUGUCGAUGGCGACCGGCGCACGGGUGAGUAACGCGUAUCCAACCUUCCCCAUAGUAGGGCAUAGCCCGUAGAAAUGCGGAUUAAUACCCUAUGUUUUCCGAAGCAGACAUCUAAUUUGGAACAAAGGUUCACCGCUAUGGGAUGGGGAUGCGUCUGAUUAGGUUGUUGGCGGGGUAACGGCCCACCAAGCCCUCGAUCAGUAGGGGUUCUGAGAGGAAGGUCCCCCACAUUGGAACUGAGACACGGUCCAAACUCCUACGGGAGGCAGCAGUGAGGAAUAUUGGUCAAUGGCCGAGAGGCUGAACCAGCCAAGUAGCGUGCAGGACGACGGCCCUACGGGUUGUAAACUGCUUUUGCGGGAGGAUAAAGGACGCCACGUGUGGCGUUUUGCAGGUAUCCCGUGAAUAAGGACCGGCUAAUUCCGUGCCAGCAGCCGCGGUAAUACGGAAGGUCCGGGCGUUAUCCGGAUUUAUUGGGUUUAAAGGGAGCGCAGGCGGACUGCUAAGCGUGCCGUGAAAGCGCGGGGCUCAACCCCGUACAGCGGCGCGAACUGGCGGUCUUGGUUGCGGGAAGGGGAGGCGGAACUCGUGGUGUAGCGGUGAAAUGCAUAGAUAUCACGAAGAACUCCGAUCGCGAAGGCAGCCUCCCGGCCCGCCAACGACGCUCAUGCUCGAAGGCGCGGGUAUCAAACAGGAUUAGAUACCCUGGUAGUCCGCGCGGUAAACGAUGAGUGCUCGGGAUUUGCCCCUUGGGGUGAGUCCCCCAGCGAAAGCGUUAAGCACUCCACCUGGGGAGUACGCCGGCAACGGUGAAACUCAAAGGAAUUGACGGGGGCCCGCACAAGCGGAGGAACAUGUGGUUUAAUUCGAUGAUACGCGAGGAACCUUACCCGGGCUUGAAAUGUGCAUGACGACCCUGAGAGACCAGGGUUUCCUUCGGGCAUGCAUGUAGGUGCUGCAUGGUUGUCGUCAGCUCGUGCCGUGAGGUGUCGGCUUAAGUGCCAUAACGAGCGCAACCCCUUCCGCCGGUUACCAUCGGGUCAUGCCGGGGACUCCGGCGGCACUGCCGCCGCAAGGCGCGAGGAAGGCGGGGAUGACAUCAAAUCAGCACGGCCCUUACGUCCGGGGCCACACACGUGUUACAAUGGGGGGCACAGCGAGCUGGACCAGGGCGACCUGGUUCGAAUCAAGAAAUCCCCUCCCAGUUCGGACCGGAGUCUGCAACCCGACUCCGCGAAGCCGGAUUCGCUAGUAAUCGCGCAUCAGCCAUGGCGCGGUGAAUACGUUCCCGGGCCUUGUACACACCGCCCGUCAAGCCAUGAAAGCCUGGGGCGCCUGAAGUCCGUAGCCGUCGAGGCGCGGCCGAGGGCGAUACAGGUGAUUGGGGCUAAGUCGUAACAAGGUAACC